rnacentral:snRNA from 1 species
AUGUUCAUGUCACAGCACAUAUUAUUAAAACUGGAGGACACAGAAGAUUAACAUGGUCCUUGCAUAAAGAUAACAUGCAAAUUUGGAAAGUUUUCCAUGUAUUU